AGCUAGUUGGUGAGGUAACGGCCCACCAAGGCGACGACGGGUAGCCGGCCUGAGAGGGUGACCGGCCACACUGGGACUGAGACACGGCCCAGACUCCUACGGGAGGCAGCAGUGGGGAAUAUUGCACAAUGGGCGCAAGCCUGAUGCAGCAACGCCGCGUGAGGGACGACGGCCUUCGGGUUGUAAACCUCUUUUAGUAGGGAAGAAGCGAAAGUGACGGUACCUGCAGAAAAAGCACCGGCUAACUACGUGCCAGCAGCCGCGGUAAUACGUAGGGUGCAAGCGUUAUCCGGAAUUAUUGGGCGUAAAGAGCUCGUAGGCGGUUUGUCGCGUCUGCCGUGAAAACUGGAGGCUCAACCUCCAGCCUGCGGUGGGUACGGGCAAACUAGAGUGCGGUAGGGGAGAUUGGAAUUCCUGGUGUAGCGGUGGAAUGCGCAGAUAUCAGGAGGAACACCGAUGGCGAAGGCAGAUCUCUGGGCCGUAACUGACGCUGAGGAGCGAAAGCAUGGGGAGCGAACAGGAUUAGAUACCCUGGUAGUCCAUGCCGUAAACGUUGGGAACUAGAUGUGGGGGCCAUUCCACGGCUUCCGUGUCGCAGCUAACGCAUUAAGUUCCCCGCCUGGGGAGUACGGCCGCAAGGCUAAAACUCAAAGGAAUUGACGGGGGCCCGCACAAGCGGCGGAGCAUGCGGAUUAAUUCGAUGCAACGCGAAGAACCUUACCAAGGCUUGACAUAUACGAGAACGCUGCAGAAAUGUAGAACUCUUUGGACACUCGUAUACAGGUGGUGCAUGGUUGUCGUCAGCUCGUGUCGUGAGAUGUUGGGUUAAGUCCCGCAACGAGCGCAACCCUCGUUCUAUGUUGCCAGCACGUAAUGGUGGGAACUCAUAGGAGACUGCCGGGGUCAACUCGGAGGAAGGUGGGGAUGACGUCAAAUCAUCAUGCCCCUUAUGUCUUGGGCUUCACGCAUGCUACAAUGGCCGGUACAAAGGGCUGCAAUACCGUAAGGUGGAGCGAAUCCCAAAAAGCCGGUCUCAGUUCGGAUUGAGGUCUGCAACUCGACCUCAUGAAGUCGGAGUCGCUAGUAAUCGUGGAUCAGCAACGCCACGGUGAAUACGUUCCCGGGCCUUGUACACACCGCCCGUCAAGUCAUGAAAGUCGGUAACACCCGAAGCCAGUGGCCCAACCGCAAGGAGGGAGCUGUCGAAGGUGGGAUCGGUGAUUAGGACUAAGUCGAAACGAGGUAGCCGUACCGGAAGGUGCGGCUG
rnacentral:rRNA from 1 species